UGUAGGCGUAUACCAAAGUUGUUGCAGUUAAAACGCUCGUAGUCGGAAUUUGGCAGUUCCGGAUGUGUGCACAUCGUGUGCGCACUUCGCGGGGAUUGCUUUUGUGGUCUUGCGUAGGAUGAGGCACUUUUAUUAGUGAACGUCCUCACGCAACCACUUUUUACUGUGAGAAAAUCAGAGUGCUCAAAGCAGGCAUUUGCCGUGAAUGUAUUAGCAUGGAAUAAUAGAAUAGGACUUGGUUCUAUUUUGUUGGUUUGUUGGGACUGAGUAAUGAUUAAGAGGGACAGUUGGGGGCAUUUGUAUUUCGGUGCUAGAGGUGAAAUUCUUAGAUUACCGAAAGACAAACUGCUGCGAAAGCGUCUGCCAAGGAUGUUUUCAUUGA
rnacentral:rRNA from 1 species